rnacentral:rRNA from 1 species
GACGAACGCUGGCGGCGUGCUUAACACAUGCAAGUCGAACGGAGUUGAGGAGCUUGCUUCUUAACUUAGUGGCGAACGGGUGAGUAACGCGUGAGGAACCUGCCUUUCAGUGGGGGACAACAGUUGGAAACGACUGCUAAUACCGCAUGAUACUAUUGAGUGGCAUCACUUGAUAGUCAAAGAUUUAUUGCUGAAAGAUGGCCUCGCGUCUGAUUAGCUAGUUGGUGGGGUAACGGCCCACCAAGGCGACGAUCAGUAGCCGGACUGAGAGGUUGACCGGCCACAUUGGGACUGAGAUACGGCCCAGACUCCUACGGGAGGCAGCAGUGGGGAAUAUUGGGCAAUGGGCGAAAGCCUGACCCAGCAACGCCGCGUGAAAGGAAGAAAGGGCCCUUCGGGUUGG